UCAGAGGCUCUCUGACACCAUUCACUCCAGAGUCCCACGCAGCCAAGGACCUGCAUAGACCUCUGCAAGACGCACUCUGGAUAGCACAACUCGGAGGGCUUUUUCUCUUUUCCUGCGCGCCUCUUUUGGGAUUAUUUGAUAAAGGACUUAAUUCUUAGUUUCCAAAUAGUAAUAGGUGUUUUUCAAAUGUUUUCCAAAUAGAGGAGUGUUUUGUCUUGGCGUUGUGUUGAAGUUUGAGGCUUUGUUUUAAGGUGAAGGACAAGUGCAAUGCGCGUCAGGCUCGUUUCUUGGAAUUGCCUCAGUUGCGCUUGAGGAUUUAUGAGGAGCUGCAGCGCAGGACUCGCUCGAGAAGACGCAGCUCCGAUGUGAACAGCAAUUAACUGGCAGCCCCCUCAACCUCUCCCAGUUACUGUGAAGCAAGUGCAGCACCACGUCUGACUGAGUAACCCGGACCACCCCCCCCCUCCCCAUUCCUCUCCCUGAGGGGAUGGUUGUGGAUCCUCUGGGGCCAGGAGCGACUUUGGGGCUCCUACACAUCAGUAGCUUUUUCGCUUUUGGGGUUAACUUUGAUUUGAAGGGAGAUGAGAGCCGCACUUUGGUACUUCCUGCUGUGGACGACGUACCUGCUGGCCACCGCUGAGGAAGCGAAGUUCCCCCAGGAGCUGAUAGAUCGACUGUCCCACAGUGAAAUCCACAGCAUUAGCGACCUCCAGCGGCUACUGGAGAUUGACUCCGUAGGUACGGGAAACGAUGUUAUUGAGGAGCACAAGUACCACAAACACCACAACCACCAUAAGAACUUAUCUCGUCAUCACGGUUACUUCAACGACCUGAAGAGCUCGCAGCUCCACAGCCGACGCAAGAGGAGCAUUGUCGAAGAAGCAGUCCCGGCGGUGUGUAAGACACGGACUGUGAUCUAUGAGAUCCCCAGGAGCCAGGUGGAUCCGACCUCUGCCAACUUCCUGAUAUGGCCCCCCUGUGUGGAGGUGAAACGCUGCACGGGCUGCUGCAACACCAGCAACAUGCGCUGCCACCCAUCCCGCAAGCACCACCGUACUGUGAAGGUAGCCAAGGUGGAAUACAUCAGGAGGAAACCUAAGCUGAAAGAAGUCUUUGUGCGGUUAGAAGACCACCUGGAGUGUGUGUGCACGUCGCAGCAUCAUGUAUUAGAGCACUCAGAUGCAGACACAGGCCAUCGUAGGGCUAAAGGUAAAAAAAGGAAACCUAAAAUGCUAAGACCCAGCAAGGACUUAUUGGUGACAUAAUAAAGUUGAUCUCAUUACCCAAAAAUCUACUGGAAGGCCGAGAAAGGAACAGUGGAUGUGAGGUGAGACCGGUCAGAGCAAGGCACUUCUCCUUGGAAGGGACAUUAAAAAAAAGAGGAUGCCACCAACAGGACACCUGCUCUGUCCUCUUCCCCAUCGCCAUGCGAUCUUUGCUAAAGACUUUUCAAUAAAGUGGCUGAAAAAGAGACAACAGGCUAAACCCAGAAAGAUGCCAAAGGUGCUUAAAACAGGAAGAACUCUGCCCCAUACCCCGCCAGCUGAACUGUUCCACCGACAGAGAAGAAGGUGCAGCUCGAACAGGACAGAAUGAUCCCGAUGGGAGACGAUGAAAGGGAUUUGGACUCAACUUUUUCAGCAGACUUUGGACAAAAACAGAUAUUGGAUCAGGCUUUGAUGGGAAUCCAGCUCACCAACUCAUCAUGAGGGCCCUCCGUAGUUUAAAUGUGUCUCCCACACCCAAGAAGAAGUAAAAUAAGAGACAGGUUUUGGAACAAUAAUGCAAAAAGAAUGAGUGACAGACAGCAGAUGGGUGUUGGAGAUUUGCUCUGAAUAGAAGCAAAUCCUUUUUUUUUUUUUCCAAGAACCUCUGUGACUUUGCUCACCUGCUAUGUACAGUUUAAAUUUAAAAACCGAGGACGCGUCGCUACUUACAAACUAUUUAUACGUGUGGACAAUUUUUUCUGUCUCUUUCAAUAGUUAAGAAAAGGCAGAAAAAGUUUUUUUUAUGAUCUCACAGAAAUGCAAGUUGUCUGUGUGGUAUGGUUCUUUGUAUUCUUCAGUAUCACAAUCUCAGUGUCAAUGUUUUUUUAGUUUUUCUCUUUCAAAACCAUGUUUCGUAUUAUAUUGCAGUAUAUCUGAUUGAACUUUUGCAUAUGGUUUGAAUAUGUGUGUGCAAGGAGGGGAUGUGAAAGUCAGUACAGGAAGAUGCUUUAUUUUUUUUAAUGAAAUAUAUUAUGCAUACUUAUAUCCAUAUAUGUUAUUUGUCUUUGUUGUGGUUGAAUGACAAAAUUUCAUCAAUGAAGAAAAAGAAAAGUCGGAAAAAUGGACAAAGAAGUCAUGGCUGCCAGUGUUUGUUAGCUUGUUUACAUCAGCUGUGAAAAAAGAAAGAAGGAUAAAGGGAUAAAGCAGCUCAGACAGGAAUCUUAACAGCCAGUGGCUGAGUAAUUUGGCAUAUGCUGCAGUGGUUUAAGUGUCUUUAUGGCACAAUUCAUUUUUCAUAUUAGGCAACCAAAUCAUAAAAGCAUUUAUGUUUUAUUUGCGGUGACAUUAAUUUGUCAUAAAAGUAUAGAAAUCUGGAGCCAAUCUUUAGAAAUUCUAAAGCUUGUUUCUAAAUGUUUUGGGUUUAACCUGUAUUUUACCUUUUCUGCUCAUCUCCAUACAAACUGGAAAUGCUAACAAGGUUUAAAGUAAUAGUCUUAAGAAGCAAAACUUAACAGAUUUAUUCCAAACAAGCAUAAAUAUUCUACAU